rnacentral:misc_RNA from 1 species
GAUGAAGAACGUAGCGAAAUGCGAUAAGUAAUGUGAAUUGCAGAAUUCAGUGAAUCAUCGAAUCUUUGAACGCACCUUGCGCCCUUUGGCCAUUCCGAAGGGCAUGCCUGUUUGAGUAUCAUGAACACCUCAACUCUUUAUGGUUUUCCAUGAUGAGCUUGGACUCUGGGGGUUUUGCUGGCUCACAGUCGGCUCCUCUAAAAUGAAUCAGCUUACCAGUGUUUGGUGGGUAUCAUGGGUGUGAUAACUAUCUACGCUUGUGGUUUUUCCACCAGGUAACCUUCAGCAGUGGAGGUUCGCUGGAGCUCAUAGAUGUCUCUCCUCAGUGAGGACAGCCCUUUGAAUGUUUGAUCUCAAAUCAGGUAGGACUACCCGCUGAACUUAAGCAUAUCAAUAAGCGAGGA